rnacentral:rRNA from 1 species
UUGCACAAUGGGCGCAAGCCUGAUGCAGCCAUGCCGCGUGUGUGAAGAAGGCCUUCGGGUUGUAAAGCACUUUCAGUUGUGAGGAAGGUGGUGUCGUUAAUAGCGGCAUCAUUUGACGUUAGCAACAGAAGAAGCACCGGCUAACUCCGUGCCAGCAGCCGCGGUAAUACGGAGGGUGCGAGCGUUAAUCGGAAUUACUGGGCGUAAAGCGCAUGCAGGUGGUUUGUUAAGUCAGAUGUGAAAGCCCGGGGCUCAACCUCGGAACUGCAUUUGAAACUGGCAGACUAGAGUACUGUAGAGGGGGUAGAAUUUCAGGUGUAGCGGUGAAAUGCGUAGAGAUCUGAAGGAAUACCCGGUGGCGAAGGCGGCCCCCUGGACAGAUACUGACACUCAGAUGCCGAAAGCGUGGGGAGCAAACAGGAUUAGAUACCCUGGUAG